AACGGCCAUACCGUGCUGAAUAUACCGGUUCUCGUUAGAUCACCGAAGUCAAGCAUCAUUGGGCGCGGUCAGUACUUGGGUGGGUGACCACCUGGGAACACCGUGUGCCGUU
rnacentral:rRNA from 1 species